ACAACUUUCAACAAUGGAUCUCUUGGCUCUCGCAUCGAUGAAGAACGCAGCGAAAUGCGAUAAGUAAUGUGAAUUGCAGAAUUCAGUGAAUCAUCGAAUGUUUGAACGCAUCUUGCGCUCCUUGGUAUUCCUUGGAGCAUGCCUGUUUGAGUGUCAUUAAA
rnacentral:rRNA from 1 species